rnacentral:rRNA from 1 species
GAUGAACGCUGGCGGCGUGCCUAAUACAUGCAAGUCGAGCGAACAGACGAGGAGCUUGCUCCUCUGACGUUAGCGGCGGACGGGUGAGUAACACGUGGAUAACCUACCUAUAAGACUGGGAUAACUUCGGGAAACCGGAGCUAAUACCGGAUAAUAUAAUGAACCGCAUGGUUCAAUAGUGAAAGACGGUUUUGCUGUCACUUAUAGAUGGAUCCGCGCCGCAUUAGCUAGUUGGUAAGGUAACGGCUUACCAAGGCAACGAUGCGUAGCCGACCUGAGAGGGUGAUCGGCCACACUGGAACUGAGACACGGUCCAGACUCCUACGGGAGGCAGCAGUAGGGAAUCUUCCGCAAUGGGCGAAAGCCUGACGGAGCAACGCCGCGUGAGUGAUGAAGGUCUUCGGAUCGUAAAACUCUGUUAUUAGGGAAGAACAAAUGUGUAAGUAACUAUGCACGUCUUGACGGUACCUAAUCUGAAAGCCACGGCUAACUACGUG